rnacentral:rRNA from 1 species
GAUGAACGCUGGCAGCAUGCCUAAUACAUGCGAGUCGAGCGAACGGACGAGAAGCUUGCUUCUCUGAUGUUAGCGGCGGACGGGUGAGUAACACGUGGAUAACCUACCUAUAAGACUGGGAUAACUUCGGGAAACCGGAGCUAAUACCGGAUAAUAUUUUGAACCGCAUGGUUCAAAAGUGAAAGACGGUCUUGCCGUCACUUAUAGAUGGAUCCGCGCUGCAUUAGCUAGUUGGUAAGGUAACGGCUUACCAAGGCAACGAUGCAUAGCCGACCUGAGAGGGUGAUCGGCCACACUGGAACUGAGACACGGUCCAGACUCCUACGGGAGGCAGCAGUAGGGAAUCUUCCGCAAUGGGCGAAAGCCUGACGGAGCAACGCCGCGUGAGUGAUGAAGGUCUUCGGAUCGUAAAACUCUGUUAUUAGGGAAGAACAUAUGUGUAAGUAACUGUGCACAUCUUGACGGUACCUAAUCAGAAAGCCACGGCUAACUACGUG